GUUUGGUGUGAAGUCUAUCAGGAAUAGUAACAACUCAUGAGUGAGGUGUAUCUACAAGUUAGUAUCAUUAGUCAAGCUCUAAUCUUCGUUACAAGAUCAGGGAGUUGGUCCUUUGUUGAACGUGCUGGAGCGUUACUGAUGAUUGCUUUCCUCAUUGCACAACUGGUUGCUACUUUGAUUGCGGUUUACACAAAUUGGGGAAUUCGCAAAAGUUAUGGGUAUUGGAUGGGGAUGGGUUGCAGUUAUCUGGCUAUACAGUAUUAUAACAUACUUCCCAUUGGACAUUCUCCAGUUUGCCAUGGUGACUGGAAAGGUUUGGCUCAACUUGGUUAAGAACAAGAUAGCUUUCACAACGAAGAAAGAUUUCAACAAAGAAGAGAGGGAGGCUCAAUGGGCAGUUGCUCAGAGGACACUUCAAGGCUUAGGGAGCUGCACACACUCAAGGGGCAUGUGGAAUCAUUGAGCGCUGGUGAGAACGCUGGAGAGAUCACCGUAGAAUCGCUUUGGUAUACUUUUUUCUUGAGGAGACAGAUUGUGAAAAUUCCUAGUGAACGAAAGACGGAAAUCCUUAAGGUGUAAUUGGUGACCAAAUAAUGAAAUGGAAUAAUGUAUUCUUUACAAUUCCUAAUUUUUUUUUAUCAUUUACAAGAAAUUGUUUUUCUUUUGCAUUCAUUUUCAUUCUUUUUAUUCUAGAAGAAUAUAGAAGAAAUUUGUUCCCCGCUAAAAUUGAUAAGGAAACAUUUUUUUUUUCAUUCCUCUAAUAUUAUUUCUCUGUAUUUUUUCUCUACUCAUUCCUAAUGUUAUUGUAAUUGUCACCAGUUAGACCCAGUGUUUUUAGAUUUUUUAGUGAGAAAUUAAAAAAUAGAAAUAUCAUUUAUAUUGAGUAAUUCUUCCAAAAGAUACUAAAAUAAAAAAAUUUGACCAAAAGAUCACAAAAGUAGAGGAUGAUUAAAAUAGGUUUCAUCAAAAAGAUAAAAGAUUUUUUUUACCUUACCUUAUAGAUAUAUAAAUAUAAAUAAUUAUUUAAAUAAACAUUUUUUGUAUUUUCAAAAAAUACGUUUUCAAUUCAAAAAAAAUUGAAACUUUUUUCCAAUUUUUUUUUUUAAAUCCAAAAUUUUGUUUUGAAACUAUUUUAAAAUUAUUAUUUUAAAUAUUAAUAUGUUCGCAA